rnacentral:rRNA from 3 species
AGCCCAAAGUGGGUGGUAAACUCCAUCCAAGGCUAAAUACAAGCACGAGUCCGAUAGCGAACAAGUACCGUGAGGGAAAGUUGAAAAGUACUUUGAAGAGAGAGUAAACAGUACGUGAAACCGCAUGCAGGUAAACGGGUGGCGUCAAGCUGCAAGCCCAGAGGAUUCAGCUGGCUAGGAUGUUGUGUAUGCGCUUGCGCAUCUAUCAGUCAGAAUAAGAUGUGAUAGUCCACUGGUAAACGGUGGGCCCGGCCGCAAGGUUGGGAUAUGUGUACCGGGCGGAAGCCGGAGCAUGCUAUUCGUCUGUUGGGCUGUCUAGUCAGUGCACUUUCUCUGUGGUGAACACCACGACCGGUGGAAUUGCCAGUCUGCUGUAGUCAAGUCGUAUUCAGUCGGUUCUUGUAGCCAACUGGGUGCGAUCACAGGCAAACUCAGUAAACGGCGUAGGGGUGUUUCGGCAUCCUUGCGUGUUAUCGGCUGCUGGUUGUCAACGGGCCUGCCUGAUGAUUGUUGUAACCGUCAUUGGGUGGUCUGGUGGACUAUGGUGGUAAGAAUAACUGUGCAAGGCAUCGGAGUUCUCGGCCUCAAAUGCAUCCUGCAUACACGUUACAAGUGGAGUGGGGUGCCAUUGCAGCCUGCCUGUUGUUGGGUCUGAUUGUCGUGUCGCCUGCGCAAAGUGGGCCCGGCAGUGGCCUGAUGCGGGAUGGGUUGUGGAUGGUGCUUCCUGUGUAGGGUGCGGUGGGUCAAAUAGUCAGUGGUGUAGUGGUAGACGAGCUACCC